UGUACUUGGUGUUACUGCGAAGGGGGGACGGAGAAGGCUAUGUUGGCCGGGCGACGGUUGUCCCGGUUUAAGCGUGUAGGCUGGUUUUCCAGGCAAAUCCGGAAAAUCAAGGCUGAGGCGUGAUGACGAGGCACUACGGUGCUGAAGCAACAAAUGCCCUGCUUCCAGGAAAAGCCUCUAAGCAUCAGGUAACAUCAAAUCGUACCCCAAACCGACACAGGUGGUCAGGUAGAGAAUACCAAGGCGCUUGAGAGAACUCGGGUGAAGGAACUAGGCAAAAUGGUGCCGUAACUUCGGGAGAAGGCACGCUGAUAUGUAGGUGAAGCGACUUGCUCGUGGAGCUGAAAUCAGUCGAAGAUACCAGCUGGCUGCAACUGUUUAUUAAAAACACAGCACUGUGCAAACACGAAAGUGGACGUAUACGGUGUGACGCCUGCCCGGUGCCGGAAGGUUAAUUGAUGGGGUUAGCGGUAACGCGAAGCUCUUGAUCGAAGCCCCGGUAAACGGCGGCCGUAACUAUAACGGUCCUAAGGUAGCGAAAUUCCUUGUCGGGUAAGUUCCGACCUGCACGAAUGGCGUAAUGAUGGCCAGGCUGUCUCCACCCGAGACUCAGUGAAAUUGAACUCGCUGUGAAGAUGCAGUGUACCCGCGGCAAGACGGAAAGACCCCGUGAACCUUUACUAUAGCUUGACACUGAACAUUGAGCCUUGAUGUGUAGGAUAGGUGGGAGGCUUUGAAGUGUGGACGCCAGUCUGCAUGGAGCCGACCUUGAAAUACCACCCUUUAAUGUUUGAUGUUCUAACGUUGGCCCGUGAUCCGGGUUGCGGACAGUGUCUGGUGGGUAGUUUGACUGGGGCGGUCUCCUCCUAAAGAGUAACGGAGGAGCACGAAGGUUGGCUAAUCCUGGUCGGACAUCAGGAGGUUAGUGCAAUGGCAUAAGCCAGCUUGACUGCGAGCGUGACGGCGCGAGCAGGUGCGAAAGCAGGUCAUAGUGAUCCGGUGGUUCUGAAUGGAAGGGCCAUCGCUCAACGGAUAAAAGGUACUCCGGGGAUAACAGGCUGAUACCGCCCAAGAGUUCAUAUCGACGGCGGUGUUUGGCACCUCGAUGUCGGCUCAUCACAUCCUGGGGCUGAAGUAGGUCCCAAGGGUAUGGCUGUUCGCCAUUUAAAGUGGUACGCGAGCUGGGUUUAGAACGUCGUGAGACAGUUCGGUCCCUAUCUGCCGUGGGCGCUGGAGAACUGAGGGGGGCUGCUCCUAGUACGAGAGGACCGGAGUGGACGCAUCACUGGUGUUCGGGUUGUCAUGCCAAUGGCACUGCCCGGUAGCUAAAUGCGGAAGAGAUAAGUGCUGAAAGCAUCUAAGCACGAAACUUGCCCCGAGAUGAGUUCUCCCUGACUCCUUGAGAGUCCUGAAGGAACGUUGAAGACGACGACGUUGAUAGGCCGGGUGUGUAAGCGCAGCGAUGCGUUGAGCUAACCGGUACUAAUGAACCGUGAGGCUUAACCUU
rnacentral:rRNA from 1 species